UACGUAGGGACCGAGCGUUGUCCGGAUUGACUGGGCGUAAAGCGCACGCAGGCGGAUGCGCGCGUGGGGUGUGAAAUCUGGCCGCUUAACGGCCAGGCGCCAUCCCAUACGGCGCGUCUGGAGUGAUGCAGAGGUCGAUGGAAUUGCCGGUGUAGUGGUGAAAUGCGUAGAGAUCGGCAGGAACACCCAGGGGGAAACCAGUCGACUGGGCAUCUACUGACGCUGAGGUGCGAGAGCGUGGGGAGCGAACCGG
rnacentral:rRNA from 1 species